UACGAAGGGGGCUAGCGUUGUUCGGAAUUGCUGGGCGUAAAGCGCACGUAGGCGGAUAUUUAAGUCAGGGGUGAAAUCCCGGGGCUCAACCCCGGAACUGCCUUUGAUACUGGGUAUCUCGAGUCCGAGAGAGGUGAGUGGAAUUCCGAGUGUAGAGGUGAAAUUCGUAGAUAUUCGGAGGAACACCAGUGGCGAAGGCGGCUCACUGGCUCGGUACUGACGCUGAGGUGCGAAAGCGUGGGGAGCAAACAGG
rnacentral:rRNA from 1 species